CAGUCGCCGCGGGAAUACGUAGGUGGCAAGCGUUAUCCGGAAUUAUUGGGCGUAAAGCGCGCGUAGGCGGUUUCUUAAGUCUGAUGUGAAAGCCCACGGCUCAACCGUGGAGGGUCAUUGGAAACUGGGAAACUUGAGUGCAGAAGAGGAAAGUGGAAUUCCAUGUGUAGCGGUGAAAUGCGCAGAGAUAUGGAGGAACACCAGUGGCGAAGGCGACUUUCUGGUCUGUAACUGACGCUGAUGUGCGAAAGCGUGGGGAUCAAACAGGAUUAGAUACCCCAGUAGUCCCUGUCUCUUAUAC
rnacentral:rRNA from 1 species